rnacentral:rRNA from 1 species
GUAUGAACGCUAGCUACAGGCUUAACACAUGCAAGUCGAGGGGCAGCAUGGUCUUAGCUUGCUAAGACUGAUGGCGACCGGCGCACGGGUGAGUAACACGUAUCCAACCUGCCGUCUACUCUUGGACAGCCUUCUGAAAGGAAGAUUAAUACAAGAUGGCAUCAUGAGUCCACAUGUUCACAUGAUUAAAGGUAUUCCGGUAGACGAUGGGGAUGCGUUCCAUUAGAUAGUAGGCGGGGUAACGGCCCACCUAGUCUUCGAUGGAUAGGGGUUCUGAGAGGAAGGUCCCCCACAUUGGAACUGAGACACGGUCCAAACUCCUACGGGAGGCAGCAGUGAGGAAUAUUGGUCAAUGGGCGAGAGCCUGAACCAGCCAAGUAGCGUGAAGGAUGACUGCCCUAUGGGUUGUAAACUUCUUUUAUAAAGGAAUAAAGUCGGGUAUGCAUACCCGUUUGCAUGUACUUUAUGAAUAAGGAUCGGCUAACUCCGUGCCAGCAGCCGCGGUAAUACGGAGGAUCCGAGCGUUAUCCGGAUUUAUUGGGUUUAAAGGGAGCGUAGAUGGAUGUUUAAGUCAGUUGUGAAAGUUUGCGGCUCAACCGUAAAAUUGCAGUUGAUACUGGAUAUCUUGAGUGCAGUUGAGGCAGGCGGAAUUCGUGGUGUAGCGGUGAAAUGCUUAGAUAUCACGAAGAACUCCGAUUGCGAAGGCAGCCUGCUAAGCUGCAACUGACAUUGAGGCUCGAAAGUGUGGGUAUCAAACAGGAUUAGAUACCCUGGUAGUCCACACGGUAAACGAUGAAUACUCGCUGUUUGCGAUAUACAGCAAGCGGCCAAGCGAAAGCGUUAAGUAUUCCACCUGGGGAGUACGCCGGCAACGGUGAAACUCAAAGGAAUUGACGGGGGCCCGCACAAGCGGAGGAACAUGUGGUUUAAUUCGAUGAUACGCGAGGAACCUUACCCGGGCUUAAAUUGCAGAUGAAUUACGGUGAAAGCCGUAAGCCGCAAGGCAUCUGUGAAGGUGCUGCAUGGUUGUCGUCAGCUCGUGCCGUGAGGUGUCGGCUUAAGUGCCAUAACGAGCGCAACCCUUGUUGUCAGUUACUAACAGGUCCUGCUGAGGACUCUGACAAGACUGCCAUCGUAAGAUGUGAGGAAGGUGGGGAUGACGUCAAAUCAGCACGGCCCUUACGUCCGGGGCUACACACGUGUUACAAUGGGGGGUACAGAGGGCCGCUACCACGCGAGUGGAUGCCAAUCCCCAAAACCUCUCUCAGUUCGGACUGGAGUCUGCAACCCGACUCCACGAAGCUGGAUUCGCUAGUAAUCGCGCAUCAGCCACGGCGCGGUGAAUACGUUCCCGGGCCUUGUACACACCGCCCGUCAAGCCAUGGGAGCCGGGGGUACCUGAAGUGCGUAACCGCGAGGAGCGCCCUAGGGUAAAAC